GUGUGUGUGUGUGUGUGUGUGUGUGUGUGUGUGUGUGUGUGUGUGUGUGUGUGUGUGUGUGUGUGUGUGUGUGUGUGGUGUGUGUUGGUGUUGUAACCGUGCUGGUUUCUGUGUGCAUGAGUCCCCUGUUCUAGUGAACUGGGAUAUUGUGAUGAUAACUAAUAUUAAAGUGUGACACACUUAAUAUUGGUAAUGCUGACUGUGAUCACUCCUAAUUCUGGCCAAACCAGCUUCCUCCUCCAACCGACAUGGCGGUCAGCGAUGAAAGGGCAACACGGCCAUCUCCAGGACAUCCACAUAUGCUCUGAGUAUAUGUGAGUUUACACAUGAAUAAUCUUGCUUUUAAAACAACUGUUGGGUGAUUGUGGAAGUGGUGAUAUUGAGAGAAUUGCCUUUCCUGGAUUAUGAACAAUAUAAAUACCCAUGGGACUUUUAUGCUUCAACCGAAAAGGGAAACAAGGCCAUUCGGCAUCACAAGUCUUGCUUUGUUCCCUAAUCGAACUCCGCUAUGAUAAGGUAAAAUGACUAAUGGUUUCAUAUGAAAGACAAAGACCAGCGGAUUUCCUUGUAAAUGUGUAACACAUUCUAUCGACUACGAACUUCCUGCGUGCUUACUACGUAUCCUACUAACUAUAUUACUAACUAAGUAUUCACAUUCUAUUUUGAGUUAUCUCAACUAACUCUUAAUCAUGCUCAUGAUGUAUUUGAGGUUAGGAUUAAGAAAGAAAUCACUGAUGUAGUGAACAAAGUUAAGUACCUUGGUAUCAUCCUGGACAAGAACUUAAAGUUUGACAGUCAGGUUAAGUACAUCUGUAAGAAGGUCAGACCAAAUCUUAACUGCUUACGUUUUAUCAGAAAGAACAUCAAGCUGCAAAACUAUACAUGCAUGCAAUGAUUUUCUCUCAUUUAUCAUAUUGCAUCACGUCAUGGCCAAAAGCUCCACAAUGAAACCUAUAGUCUCAAGAUACAAGCAGGCAAUAAAACUCAUGGACUGGAAACCAAUGAAUUGGCAUCACUGUCGGAUUUUAAGGAAACUCAACUUUCUCACUUUAGAAAAUGUAAUGAAUUUCCGUACUCUGAUUGUUUUUUAAAUGUCUAAAUAAUCAUGUGUCAGUAAUGGCCAUGAGGUGUCCGGGUUCUCACAGAGCGAUCACACAAGCCUCCACUAGUGGUGAUGGUCUCAUCCCUAAACACAAGACUUCAUUCUGUCAGUCUGCUAUCGCUGUAAAGGGGUCCAAACUUUGGAACUCUCUACCCACUAAUCUAAAAUUAGAGACCAACAGUAAUGCUUUGAACAAAGGACUCAAAGUAGGCCUCAAAUCGAAACAAAAUGUUCCAAUGGAUAUUUCUUAACUGGGUGAUUGCUUGAUCAUGUUGCCUUUGCUCUGUAGAGUAGCCUAUAUAUGUAAUUAACAUGUAAACAUGCUUGCAUUUUUCUUUUUUGGUUUUUCUCUUUCCUUUCUUUCUACUAUAGUUGUUCUAUCUUUUCAAAAGCAGCCUGUGGACAAGGGGUGUGAAUUAAUGCUAAAACACUCAAACAAUGCAUCUGGUCUGUCCGAAGUAAUUGCUAUGACCACAUAAAAUAAACAUUAAUAAUAAUAAUUGAAUCAUACAUAAUCAAUAUGUAUUGUUAACAACAAUGUUGGAAUGCCAUUUAAAAACCCUUUGAUUAGAAAAGCUGUGAGAUGUAUUCUUAAUCCUUUGAAGUCAUUAUUACGAUUGUAACAAUGGGUUUCUGACAGAAUGAUAUUAUAAGUUGUAAUACAAUUAUAUAAUAGGAUAGAUAAUGACCUAUGACAUAAAUCAUAUAAUCUGAAUUCAAGGAUUCAUUCCGCUGAAAAGUAAUGAAAGAGAAACCAUUGUCGAACCAUGUCACUUGUUGGGACGAGUUCUAAUUCUGAAAAUGAAACCUUUUCCUUAAAAUAAACUCUGGGGAAUAAUCAGAACUGGCCCUAAUGUUGAAGUCAUGGUGAGUCCAAGAGCACAGACAACAACUUUUGGAAUUGGUCCGAUAUCGAGCGAACUGAUUCCAUCACAGUUACCGAAGAAUUAGGUAGUGGCUACUGUCUGAGAAUUUCCCAAUUUUCACAGAUUUUUUGCAAAUCACCACAAGAAGAUUUCCAAGAGAGAGCCCCAGUCAGAGGUUCACUUUCACUGAUGAGCGAAAGUGAAAACAUUCGCAUCUGGUAUCUUAAUUCCAUGAAACGAUGGACGUUUACUUUAUCCCAAACAGACUGAUGGAAACAUAAACAUAUCUCUUCUGAGGGUCAAGCACUUGCUUUAACUUUGCUUAUGCAUUUUUUUUAAUUUGACUACUAUAAGCUGCUGCAGUUUCCCACUAAAAAUAGAUUCACGUACUCAGAAAUAUGACUGAUAUAGAUCCAGUACAUACACCCACACUGUCACACACACACGCACACACAGUCACAGACCCAGACUCUACUAUUUCCUAUUUCUCAUUUCCCCCCCUUCCCACACACACACACACACACACACACACACACACACACACACACACACACACACACACACACACACACACACACACACACACACACACACACAUACACACACACACACACACACACAGAAAUAAACAAACACACACACCUACACACUGCAUACUCUUUGUUUCGCUGUGACAAAACCAUAUUUU